rnacentral:rRNA from 1 species
AGAGUUUGAUCCUGGCUCAGAACGAACGCUGGCGGCAGGCCUAACACAUGCAAGUCGAACGGGAUCUUCGGAUCUAGUGGCGGACGGGUGAGUAACGCGUGGGAACGUACCCUUUGGUUCGGAAUAGCCCUGGGAAACUGGGAGUAAUACCGGAUACGGUCGAGAGACGAAAGAUUUAUCGCCGAAGGAUCGGCCCGCGUUGGAUUAGGUAGUUGGUGGGGUAAUGGCCUACCAAGCCGACGAUCCAUAGCUGGUUUGAGAGGAUGAUCAGCCACACUGGGACUGAGACACGGCCCAGACUCCUACGGGAGGCAGCAGUGGGGAAUCUUAGACAAUGGGGGAAACCCUGAUCUAGCCAUGCCGCGUGAGCGAUGAAGGCCUUAGGGUUGUAAAGCUCUUUCGUGGGGGAAGAUAAUGACUGUACCCCAAGAAGAAGCCCCGGCUAACUCCGUGCCAGCAGCCGCGGUAAUACGGAGGGGGCUAGCGUUGUUCGGAAUUACUGGGCGUAAAGCGCACGUAGGCGGACCGGAAAGUCAGAGGUGAAAUCCCAGGGCUCAACCUUGGAACUGCCUUUGAAACUCCUGGUCUUGA